AUUGAACGCUGGCGGCAGGCCUAACACAUGCAAGUCGAGCGGAGCGGCGGACGCGUGCGUAUUGCCUAGGAAUCUGCCUGGUAGUGGUGGAUAACGUCCGGAAACGGGCGCUAAUACCGCAUACUAUCAGAUGAGCCUAGGGCGGACAAGCUAGUGGGUGGGGUAAAGGCCUACCAAGGCGACGAGCCGUAACGGGUCUGAGAGGAUGAUCAGUCACACUGGAACUGGGACACGGCCCAGACCCCUACGGGAGGCAGCAGUGGGGAAUAUUGGACAAUGGGCGAAAGCCUGAGCAAGCCAUGCCGCGUGUGUGAAGCAGGUCUUCGGAUUGUAAAGCACUUUAAGUUGGGAGACGGUACCAAAAGAAUAAGCACCGGCUAACUUCGUGCCAGCAGCCGCGGUAAUUC
rnacentral:rRNA from 1 species